rnacentral:rRNA from 1 species
UACAGAGGUCUCAAGCGUUGUUCGGAUUCAUUGGGCGUAAAGGGUGCGUAGGUGGCGCGCUAAGUCAGGUGUGAAAUUUCGGAGCUUAACUCCGAAACUGCAUUUGAUACUGGCGUGCUUGAGGACUGGAGAGGAGACUGGAAUUCACGGUGUAGCAGUGAAAUGCGUAGAGAUCGUGAGGAAUACCGGUGGCGAAGGCGGCAUCCUGGACCGACAUUGACGCUGAUGAGCGAAAGCUAAGGGAGCAAACGGG